UACGUAGGGGGCUAGCGUUGUCCGGAUUUAUUGGGCGUAAAGAGCGUGUAGGCGGCCAGGUAGGUCUGCUGUGAAAACUCGAGGCUCAACCUCGAGACGUCGGCGGAAACCAUCUGGCUAGAGUCCGGAAGAGGGUCGUGGAAUUCCCAGUGUAGAGGUGAAAUUCGUAGAUAUUGGGAAGAACACCGGUGGCGAAGGCGGCGACCUGGUCCGUGACUGACGCUGAGGCGCGAAAGCGUGGGGAGCAAACAGG
rnacentral:rRNA from 1 species